AAGUUUGUGUGUGUAAAAAGAGCAAUUUUACGGUCUUUGAGGAGGUACCAUGAGGUACCAUUUUUUCUAUUGUAAAUUUGGUACCUCUUGGUACCUAUGUGCUAUGAGGUACCAAAUUUUACACUAAAAUUUUGGUACCUCAUGGUACUUCCUCAAGGACCGUAGAAUUGCUCGUGUAAAAAAGUUUUGA
rnacentral:misc_RNA from 1 species